GACGAACGCUGGCGGCGUGCUUAACACAUGCAAGUCGAACGGAAAGGCCCUGCUUUUUUGGGGUGCUCGAGUGGCGAACGGGUGAGUAACACGUGAGUAACCUGCCCUUGACUUUGGGAUAACUUCAGGAAACUGGGGCUAAUACCGUAUAGGAUCUCCUGCUGCAUGGUGGGGGUUGGAAAGUUUCGGCGGUUGGGGUUGGACUCGCGGCUUAUCAGCUUGUUGGUGGGGGAGUGGCUUACCAAGGCUUUGACGGGUAGCCGGCCUGAGAGGGUGACCGGCCACAUUGGGACUGAGAUACGGACCAGACUCCUACGGGAGGCAGCAGGGGGGAAUAUUGCACAAUGGGCGGAAGCCUGAUGCAGAAACGCCGCGUGCGGGAUGACGGCCUUCGGGUUGUAAACAGCUUUAGCCUGUGACGAAGCGGGAGUGACGGUAAUGGGUAAAGAAGCACCGGCUAACUACGUG
rnacentral:rRNA from 1 species